rnacentral:rRNA from 1 species
AACGAACGCUGGCGGCAGGCCUAACACAUGCAAGUCGAACGCACCGCAGGGUGAGUGGCGCACGGGUGAGUAACACGUGGGAAUGUACCCUUUGGUUCGGAAUAACGUUUGGAAACGAACGCUAAUACCGGAUGAGCCCUGUGGGGGAAAGAUUUAUCGCCAAAGGAGCAGCCCGCGUCUGAUUAGCUAGUUGGUGGGGUAAAGGCCUACCAAGGCGACGAUCAGUAGCUGGUCUGAGAGGAUGAUCAGCCACACUGGGACUGAGACACGGCCCAGACUCCUACGGGAGGCGGCAGUGGGGAAUAUUGGACAAUGGGCGCAAGCCUGAUCCAGCCAUGCCGCGUGAGUGAUGAAGGCCUUCGGGUUGUAAAGCUCUUUCGCACACGACGAUGAUGACGGUAGUGUGAGAAGAAGCCCCGGCUAACUACGUGCCAGCCGCCGCGGUAACAC